rnacentral:rRNA from 1 species
CACCCUUUAAUGUUUGAUGUUCUAACGUUGGCCCCUUACCGGGGUUGCGGACAGUGUCUGGUGGGUAGUUUGACUGGGGCGGUCUCCUCCCAAAGCGUAACGGAGGAGCACGAAGGUUAGCUAAUCCUGGUCGGACAUCAGGAGGUUAGUGCAAUGGCAUAAGCUAGCUUGACUGCGAGCGUGACGGCGCGAGCAGGUGCGAAAGCAGGUCAUAGUGAUCCGGUGGUUCUGAAUGGAAGGGCCAUCGCUCAACGGAUAAAAGGUACUCCGGGGAUAACAGGCUGAUACCGCCCAAGAGUUCAUAUCGA